CUCCUUCUGCCUCUCUUUCUCUUCCUGUGUCUGUCUCUAUAUAUUGACAAUGACCCGCAGAGACUGUUGAUUAGCUCUCGUCUCAGAUAAACCCUCUUAGACCCAUUACAGUAUGUGUGAGUGGCUCAGCAAACGACAGCGAAAGAGAAAAAGCAGUUCUCCAACCCUCUAUAAUUAGUUCUAGAAGGACGUAACUCAUUUCAAUCAGGAUGAAGGACACAACAUGUUAUGCUUAGAGAUUAAUCCUUAAAAUACAAGGCGAACAGACAUGAUGCUUCUCUCUGGAUAAAUCACAUAACAGAAAAAAGGAAGUGGACUGGGAAACGAAUGGUUGACAAGGCAUGAGAUAGAAAAAUCCAUUCUCAAUCUUAAUGGGAUCAUACUAUAGUGGGAUCUGGAUUCUGUCUGAUAACCGUGGAAAUAACACUUCAGAUGUGCAAAAUAGAUACUUUCAGACAGAAAUACAUUGAUGUAAUCAGUUCUACAGUGACAACGUCUACAUUUGCACAGUCAUUGUUUGGGAUGGAUACUCAUAUUUACUAAAAUAUGUGACUUGAAUUGUUCCGCUCAUACAAUAGCUUACAGUAGUUGUUUGAAUAUUGUCAGGAUGAAUAAAUAAAGUCA